rnacentral:lncRNA from 1 species
CCCCUUGCGUUGAAAGGAAGCACCGGCUCCCAACAUGCCGCGAGCCGAAAAGACCCAACCUCGGAACCAGCACUAAAGAGACGGUACCCCACGCAUGCGGUUCAUGCCACCUUACGUGUGGCACUUUCCUUUGCAUUUUGUGGCCAAGUUUUAGUAUAAUCAUUAUUUAAAAGCCAUACGGCUCUGUCCUGCAACCAAAGGAG